AGAGUUUGAUCCUGGCUCAGGAUGAACGCUGGCGGCGUGCUUAACACAUGCAAGUCGAACGAAGCGCUUUUAUUUGAUUUCUUCGGAAUGAAGAUUUUAGUGACUGAGUGGCGGACGGGUGAGUAACGCGUGGGUAACCUGCCUCAUACAGGGGGAUAACAGUUAGAAAUGACUGCUAAUACCGCAUAAGACCACAGUACCGCAUGGUACAGGGGUAAAAACUCCGGUGGUAUGAGAUGGACCCGCGUCUGAUUAGGUAGUUGGUGGGGUAACGGCCUACCAAGCCGACGAUCAGUAGCCGACCUGAGAGGGUGACCGGCCACAUUGGGACUGAGACACGGCCCAAACUCCUACGGGAGGCAGCAGUGGGGAAUAUUGCACAAUGGGGGAAACCCUGAUGCAGCGACGCCGCGUGAGCGAUGAAGUAUUUCGGUAUGUAAAGCUCUAUCAGCAGGGAAGAAAAUGACGGUACCUGACUAAGAAGCACCGGCUAAAUACGUGCCAGCAGCCGCGGUAAUACGUAUGGUGCAAGCGUUAUCCGGAUUUACUGGGUGUAAAGGGAGCGUAGACGGAGUGGCAAGUCUGAUGUGAAAACCCGGGGCUCAACCCCGGGACUGCAUUGGAAACUGUCAAUCUAGAGUACCGGAGAGGUAAGCGGAAUUCCUAGUGUAGCGGUGAAAUGCGUAGAUAUUAGGAGGAACACCAGUGGCGAAGGCGGCUUACUGGACGGUAACUGACGUUGAGGCUCGAAAGCGUGGGGAGCAAACAGGAUUAGAUACCCUGGUAGUCCACGCCGUAAACGAUGACUACUAGGUGUCGGGCAGCAAAGCUGUUCGGUGCCACAGCAAACGCAAUAAGUAGUCCACCUGGGGGAGUACGUUCGCAAGAAUGAAACUCAAAGGAAUUGACGGGGACCCGCACAAGCGGGGGAGCAUGUGGGUUUAAUUCGAAACAACGCGAAGAACCUUACCUGGUCUUUGAAUCUCCCUGACCGGGAAGAAAUGGCGCCUUUCUUCCGGGACAGGGAUAAAAAGGGGGGGCCAGGGUUGUCCUCACCUCCUGGCCGGGAAAAAUUUGGGUUAAAUCCCCCCACAAAGGGCACCCCUAAUUUUUAUUAACACCGGGUCGGCCGGCGCCCUUAAAAGACUGCCCGGGAAACCUCUGGAAGAAGGGGGGGUGAGGCGGCACAUACCCAUCGCCCUCUUAGGAGGGGGUACAACCUGGUUCAAUUGUGUGUAAAAAAGAGGGGGAAAACCCGGGGGGGGAAAACCCAAAAAAAACGUCUCAGUUCGGAUUGUAGUCUGCAACUCGACUACAUGAAGCUGGAAUCGCUAGUAAUCGCGAAUCAGAAUGUCGCGGUGAAUACGUUCCCGGGUCUUGCACACACCGCCCGUC
rnacentral:rRNA from 1 species